rnacentral:rRNA from 1 species
CAAGCGUUAUCCGGAUUCACUGGGUUUAAAGGGUGCGUAGGCGGGCAGGUAAGUCCGUGGUGAAAUCUCUGAGCUUAACUCAGAAACUGCCAUGGAUACUAUUUGUCUUGAAUAUUGUGGAGGUAAGCGGAAUAUGUCAUGUAGCGGUGAAAUGCUUAGAUAUGACAUAGAACACCAAUUGCGAAGGCAGCUUACUACACAGUUAUUGACGCUGAGGCACGAAAGCGUGGGGAUCAAACAGG